UACGUAGGGUGCGAGCGUUGUCCGGAAUUACUGGGCGUAAAGAGCUCGUAGGCGGUUUGUCGCGUCGAAUGUGAAAACCCGGGGCUCAACCCCGGGCCUGCAUUCGAUACGGGCAGACUAGAGUUCGGUAGGGGAGUCUGGAAUUCCUGGUGUAGCGGUGAAAUGCGCAGAUAUCAGGAGGAACACCGGUGGCGAAGGCGGGACUCUGGGCCGAUACUGACGCUGAGGAGCGAAAGCGUGGGGAGCGAACAGG
rnacentral:rRNA from 1 species